rnacentral:tRNA from 1 species
GGGGUUGUGGCUCAGUGGUAGUACCAGCACUUGCCUCGCAUGCAUGGGGCACUGGGUUCAAUCCUCAGCACCACA